CAUAUCAAUAAGCGGAGGAAAAGAAACUAACAAGGAUUCCCCUAGUAACUGCGAGUGAAGCGGGAAAAGCUCAAAUUUAAAAUCUGGCAGUCUUUGGCUGUCCGAAUUGUAAUCUAGAGAAGUGUUAUCCGCGUUGGACCGUGUACAAGUCUCCUGGAAUGGAGCGUCAUAGAGGGUGAGAAUCCCGUCUUUGACACGGACUGCCAGGGCUUUGUGAUGCGCUCUCAAAGAGUCGAGUUGUUUGGGAAUGCAGCUCAAAAUGGGUGGUAAAUUCCAUCUAAAGCUAAAUAUUGGCGAGAGACCGAUAGCGAACAAGUACCGUGAGGGAAAGAUGAAAAGAACUUUGGAAAGAGAGUUAAACAGUACGUGAAAUUGCUGAAAGGGAAACGCUUGAAGUCAGUCGCGUUGUCCAGGGAUCAACCUUGCUUUUGCCUGGUGUACUUUCUGGUUAACGGGUCAGCAUCAAUUUUGGCCAUUGGAAAAAGGUCAGGGGAAUGUGGCAUCUUUAGAUGUGUUUAUAGCCCUUGGUUGCAUACAAUGGUUGGGAUUGAGGAACUCAGCACGCCGAAAGGCCGGGUUUUUAACCACGUACGUGCUUAGGAUGCUGGCAUAAUGGCUUUAAUCGACCCGUCUUGAAACACGGACCAAGGAGUCUAACAUGCCUGCGAGUGUUUGGGUGGAAAACCCGAGCGCGCAAUGAAAGUGAAAGUUGAGAUCCCUGUCGUGGGGAGCAUCGACGCCCGGACCAGACCUUUUGUGACGGUUCCGCGGUAGAGCAUGUAUGUUGGGACCCGAAAGAUGGUGAACUAUGCCUGAAUAGGGUGAAGCCAGAGGAAACUCUGGUGGAGGCUCGUAGCGAUUCUGACGUGCAAAUCGAUCGUCAAAUUUGGGUAUAGGGGCGAAAGACUAAUCGAACCAUCUAGUAGCUGGUUCCUGCC
rnacentral:rRNA from 1 species